CAGGGAUUGCCUCAGUAACGGCGAGUGAAGCGGCAACAGCUCAAAUUUUAAAGCUGGCGUCUUUGACGCCCGCGUUGUAAUUUGGAGAGGCAUCUUCGGUUUGGGCGCCAGCCUAUGUUCCUUGGAACAGGACGUCACAGAGGGUGAGAAUCCCGUGCUUGGCUGGCUGUCCCUUUCCAUGUGAAGUGCCUUCGACGAGUCGAGUUGUUUGGGAAUGCAGCUCAAAAUGGGUGGUAAAUUCCAUCUAAAGCUAAAUAUUGGCGGGAGACCGAUAGCGCACAAGUAGAGUGAUCGAAAGAUGAAAAGCACUUUGAAAAUAGAGUUAAAAAGUACGUGAAAUUGUUGAAAGGGAAGCGCUUGAGACCAGACUCGGCCGGGGAUGAUCAGCCGUCCUUCUGGGCGGUGCACUUGUCUCCGGUCGGGCCAGCAUCGGUUGAGACGGCGGGAUAAAGGCCCGGGGAAUGUGGCUCCUUUAGGGGAGUGUUAUAGCCCCGGGCGCAAUGCCGCCAGCCUCGACCGAGGACCGCGCUUUUUGCUAGGAUGCUGGCGUAAUGGUCUUCAGCGACCCGUCUUGAAACACGGACCAAGGAGUCUAACAUCUAUGCGAGUGUUUGGGUGUCAAACCCUUGCGCGUAAUGAAAGUGAACGGAGGUGGGAACCCCCUCGUGGGGCGCACCAUCGACCGGUCCUGAUGUCUUCGGAUGGAUCUGAGUAGGAGCAUAGCUGUUGGGACCCGAAAGAUGGUGAACUAUGCCUGAAUAGGGUGAAGCCAGAGGAAACUCUGGUGGAGGCUCGCAGCGGUUCUGACGUGCAAAUCGAUCGUCAAAUUUGGGUAUAGGGGCGAAAGACUAAUCGAACC
rnacentral:rRNA from 1 species